CGGCAAAUUUAGGGAAAUCUAAAGACGCAAAACUAAAGGGGCUAAGGUUAAUUAAAACUAUGCCAGCCAGUUGCUAA
rnacentral:ncRNA from 1 species